rnacentral:rRNA from 1 species
UUCGGUGAUUGAAGCGGUGUGGUCCCAUCUCUUCCCAUUCCGAACAGAGUCAUGAAACGCAUCAGCGCUGACGAUAGUAGUGUGGGCAACCCGCUGCGAAAAUAGGUCAUUGCCGGAA